UACGUAGGGACCGAGCGUUGUCCGGAAUCAUUGGGCGUAAAGCGCGUGUAGGCGGCUUGGUAAGUCCGCUCUGAAAGCCCGGGGCUCAACCCCGGGAGGCGGGUGGAUACUGUCAAGCUCGAGUCCGGAAGAGGCGAGUGGAAUUCCUGGUGUAGCGGUGAAAUGCGCAGAUAUCAGGAGGAACACCAAUGGCGAAGGCAGCUCGCUGGGACGUGACUGACGCUGAGACGCGAAAGCGUGGGGAGCAAACAGG
rnacentral:rRNA from 1 species